AUUCCUCAUCCUUACUCCAGGGUUAAGGUUCCAUCUAUUCCCUGGCAUUGCCUGAGGAUAAAGCAUUUGCUCUCAUUCCAUCUCUGGAAAUUUUGUUUUCCUCCUAACUGGUUAUGUUGAGCGAACAUU